CAGGAAGGGAGGAGAGAUCAAACCCAGGGAGGAGAGACUCCUGGGCACUCUGCGGAUUCCCUCCUCAUUUGGGGGUGGGUGGAUGCUAUCUGGGGGACUCCUGGCCCUCGGCAUAUUCCAAGGGCUAGAGCACUCUGGUUUCCACGCUGAUCUUGAAAAGGAGUGACAACUCUAAACCGUGUGUGGGGUUCCCUCCUGUCCAUCUGGGGGUCUCCAGAAAGGCAGCACCAAGCGCUCUGAGCGCCAACGAGGACCAGUCCAUCCCACAUCAAGCUCUGAGCCGCAGCAACUUCGGACCCACACACCUGAGGCAGAGACGUUUCCCAGGUGGCACCCUCAGCCUUGUAUGACAACGGACCAGGGACAAAUAGGCAGAGGCAGCCAUGCCUCCCUUCCCAACCUGUCGGGCUCCUGCUCUGUGGAUAUGGUGGAGUCAUCUGCUGCAACUCAGCUCCUGUUUCUAUAUCUGCAAAAUGGGGGUAAAAAUAUUUUCCAUAAUUGCCUAACAGAUUUAUUUUAAUUCUCAAAUGCAUGAAUCAUUUAUAGGCAUAAAUGACCAAGUUUUAUGAAUUGGUCAUCUAUGUUCCUUUCUUCUGUUUUUUAUCUUGAUAUCUAUCAAUCAUCUUUUACCUAUCAAUUGUCUAUUGCCUACCGUCGUCUGCUUAUUAUCUAUCUGUAAUCUAUCACAUGUGUAUCCAUCCACUGAGCCACCUAUUGGCUAUGCAUCUAGGAUAUUUCUAUCUACACCUAGCUUCUUAGUAACCACCUCCCUUUAUAUAUCUAUAGUCUUGGAAAAGUCCUCCUUUGAAGACAGUCCUCCUUUGAAGGCAAGAACAUUAAGGGAAACUGAGAGACCUGGAGGUUUUGGGUACUCUUUAAUGCCACCACUGUUAGCUCUCUACUUAGCUCUGGAAAAGCUACACCCCCUUUCUGGGUUUCCUCUCCCACUGCUAGGAAUGAGAAGGCUGCAUUCCCUCCCUGGAGGAGUCCUCCUGGUUCCAAAUGUGAUGCUUCAUGUAACUUAUAUCAGGUUGGCAGUGGGGGCAUUCAAAGGGUUGGGAGGAGCCUCACAGCCCCUCUUUGAAGAGCUUCACUAGGAAAAAAGUGAUUUGGAAUGGAAAUUUAUGCAAGAAGAACUGCUAGUGAUCCUUAAUGCCUAGGACUGCUGUUCCACCCAAGAGUUGCAAGGGCUUUGAUUCAGGACUUCUUUACUUAGGACUCUUUAUUCUUUGCCUUUCCAUAAGAUGUGUGAGGUUGGUAGGCUAUCAGAGGAAGGUUUUAAGGAAAAAGAGGAUACUCUGAAUGUUUAUUCCCAUCACCUCAGAUCAGCAGAGCAGGAAAUAAGGAGGAAGCCAUCCCCUGGUAGAAGGGAAGGAAACGUGAACUUGGAAAAUGAAGAAAAUGUGGGCACAACCAAUGCGUAAAUUUAAGUUCACCUUCACCAAAGAUUUCAAAACCCUGAUUCUAAAACAGUAUUCCACUCUGCACGGAUUCCCCUGGCCAUGCCAGGUCCUGCUCCUUCUCUUGAGCUGGCACACCACCAGCUCUGGCUUCGGAUGACCUACCAGAUGUCACUCACUGCCCUGUGAUGUAGGACCAACUAACAAUCUUCAACCCCCUGGCACCACCUUGCCAUGUCCCGUCCUGGUCAUUCUCCCAGGGGUCCCUAUGAAAAUCUCCUUGAGUUUCUCCCCCAUGCCCAAACAGGACGGCGUAGGUUGUACUGUCCUCUUCCUCUCCCACCUACCUCUGACCCACCGCAGACUAACGCUGCCCCUGGAGCCAGUCAAUGCCCCCGACUUGGUUUAGACCCUCGCUGUUUUCAACUGAGAUUCGACAGAAGCCACCUAGUAUGUCUCCUUCCUGUCUCUCCCACUCCAGGUCCCAGUGUCAUUCAAUGACAAGGAAGUGUGGCCAGCAUACUACCCAAUAACUCCCAUCACUUAGCUCUAACCUGAGCCAGCUGCUACUAGCAUAGGAAGCCUUGGAGCUGGCUCCUGCCCCCUUCCUCAGCGUCACCCUCCUCUGCAGGCCCAUGCUUCUUAUUCUCCAGCCAUAUUGGACACUGAGACCACCCCCCACCCCAGGCAUCCAGCUCCCUCCUGCCUCUCCCUCUACUGAAGCCCUUCCUUCUGCCUGCCACCCUGCCUUGGUCCUCCGUGGCCAACACCUGCCCGUGGGCUCCGACUCCUAUUUCAGGGCUCACUUUCCUUCUUAUUUCUGCUUCCUCCUGGAAGUACUCACACUAGGUCAUCUCCCUUGGCACCAGGAGAUCACUGUGCAUACUUGGGCCCAUUGCUUUAUUGCAGCCAGGGUAUGUGUGUGUGGUGUGUGUGGUGUGUGUGUGUGUGUGUGUGUGUGAGAGAGAGAGAGAGAGAGAGACAGACAGACAGACAGACAGACAGAGAGGUGUGCUCUGCUAGAGCGACAAGAAGCCCAACCCCUGGGUCUCCUAGAACAGUUAGCUGAAGUAAGAACUUGCUGCUGCUGGUCAGAGGCUCGAUGCCAAAGCCAUUCCCCUCCCUAGGGGUCCAGCUGGCCCCUUCACCAAUAAUUCAGGUGCUGUUCUGUGUUCAGGUGGGAACAUGAGGGAAGAGACACUUAUCAACUAAUAUUUCUUCCUUUCAUUGGGAAAAAUCCCACCUUUCCCAGAAUCCCUCCCCAGGUUGCUUAUGUCUGAUUGGCCAGGACUAUGUCACAGACACAGAAGAUAAAGUGACAGCUCCACCUGGCUGAGCAUGUGGGUCCCAAGCAGAGGCAGGGACUUGUUAGAAAGAGAGUGGAGAACAGAACUUGAACAUGCAUCCUGUUGCCUUCCCCACAGAGCUCAGCCUCCAGCCCUCUUGGGCCCCACCAUCAGCCUGCACUUGGUCACCACAGAUGUCACACCACAGUGGGCAGGUGGAAGUCAAGGGGCCUCUGGUUACCAGUUACAAACAGUAUUCCCAGGGUUCCAGGCAGAAAUGGCACAGGAGACAGUGUGCUCAUUAUACUGAGCAUGUCUUAAUUCUGUAUGAAGAAUUUGUUUCAAUGAUUUCAGUCUCCUCAUGAGAUUUUUCACUCUUGUUCUCCAUUAGUGACUGCAGAUUUUGGACAAUUUCUGAAAAGAAAGAGCUAUUAUGUAUCAAAACAUCUUGACUUUUAGAAUAGCCACUGACAUGCCAUAGCAAAUACAGCACUAAUAAAUUGCAGGCUAAAUGUCUUUAGCAGCAGAAUUAUCAAAAGAGUAGAAGAAGCACUAGGCCAGCCAAAUGCUAGUGUAGGAACGUGUCCCUUUCUAUGGAUAACAAAUGGUAGGAUUUUUGCACAAAGUUAAAUUGGACUGUGGUGCCUUAGGGAAUAAAUUAGCUUUUAAAAUAAUAUGCAAGCAGCACACAACGGAGGUUGUGCUGAGAGUCAGAGCUAUUUGGAAAUGUGCAUCAUCUCUGUUACUUAUUAAGUGUUCUCAGUCUUCCAAUUCCCCUUCCCCCAUGGUAUCUGAAACAACUCAACACUAGGGUUGUCUUACACAGAAAAUAAAUAAAUAUGUCAUUGAAGGUUGUGAAAUUGCUUCUCUCAGAUUUGAGAUGAUUCUUAACACCAACUAAGGUUUGACAUGUUAAAGAUUCUCCUGCAAAUCUGGAAUUUUCCAUUGAGAAAUGCUAAGACUUUGACUAAUGCACAAAUAAAAGGACAUGCUGUCAUGGCAUGGAAACUAUUUAUAAUUUGAUCUUAGAUCAAAGAUUUUUUUCAAUUACUUCUUUGGGUAACCAUAGCAAUAUUAAAAGAAAACAAACGUAUACGAUGAGUGUUGUAAAAGAAUUAUUAUAGCAUGUAUACGCACAUGUUUAACUUGAUCAAAAAUGGAAAAUUUUACACAACCAAUUUCAGGAAAUUCUAUACAAAUCCAGGAAGAAUGGUAAUCAACAUCUUUAAUCUAUUUCAAAUGUCUUUAGGUUCCUUUUUUUUGGAAAAAAAAAUGUUGCUUGUGCCUACCAAAUGUCUUAUAUCUUGUUUCACGUUUAUAUAUCAAAUACAAGCUGAAACUAGCUAAUAAAAUAUCUCAACUGCAAGUAAUUGUAAAAGGAAACGAUAUAAUUAGCAGAGUUCAUCUCUGACAGAAAAUGGAAAACACACUGGGUGUAGGAAGAGAAGUGAGGAAGCAAAAAGAGAGUGAGAAAUCGGCCCAGCUGUCCCUCCAGCCCACAGGGACGGGGCAAGGUGGCUCUGUCCUUCCCACGGCUGCCAACCUCAGGGCCCCCCACUGUGUGGAAGGGCUGGGAUCGGAUGCUCAGGUAGAACAGGAGCUCUGCUGCUGCCUGAGCUUGAGCUCGUCCUAGGGCCUGCUGUCUUUCUCUCAGGUGUGUGGCACAGAAAACCUGUUUACG